rnacentral:rRNA from 1 species
CAGUAGCCGCGGGAACACGGAGGGCGCGAGCGUUACCCGGAUUUACUGGGCGUAAAGGGCGUGUAGGCGGCCUGGGGCGUCCCAUGUGAAAGGCCACGGCUCAACCGUGGAGGAGCGUGGGAUACGCUCAGGCUAGAGGGUGGGAGAGGGUGGUGGAAUUCCCGGAGUAGCGGUGAAAUGCGCAGAUACCGGGAGGAACGCCGAUGGCGAAGGCAGCCACCUGGUCCACUUCUGACGCUGAGGCGCGAGAGCGUGGGGAGCAAACAGGAUUAGAUACCCCGGUAGUCCCUGUCUCUUAUAC